CCUACGGGAGGCAGCAGUGGGGAAUAUUGCGCAAUGGGCGGAAGCCUGACGCAGCGACGCCGCGUGGGGGAUGACGGCCUUCGGGUUGUAAACCUCUUUCAGCAGGGACGAAGCCGUGAGGUGACGGUACCUGCAGAAGAAGCACCGGCCAACUACGUGCCAGCAGCCGCGGUAAUACGUAGGGUGCAAGCGUUGUCCGGAAUUAUUGGGCGUAAAGAGCUCGUAGGCGGUUUGUUGCGUCGGCUGUGAAAUCCCGAGGCUCAACCUCGGGUCUGCAGUCGAUACGAGCAAACUAGAGUGUUGCAGGGGAGACUGGAAUUCCUGGUGUAGCGGUGAAAUGCGCAGAUAUCAGGAGGAACACCGGUGGCGAAGGCGGGUCUCUGGGCAACAACUGACGCUGAGGAGCGAAAGCGUGGGGAGCGAACAGGAUUAGAUACCCUGGUAGUCCACGCCGUAAACGUUGGGCGCUAGGUGUGGGGCUCAUUCCACGGGUUCCGUGCCGCAGCUAACGCAUUAAGCGCCCCGCCUGGGGAGUACGGCCGCAAGGCUAAAACUCAAAUGAAUUGACGGA
rnacentral:rRNA from 1 species